rnacentral:tRNA from 1 species
GUUGAUAUGUCCGAGUUGGUCUAAGGCGUCAGAUUAAGGUUCUGGUCAGAAAGGGCGUGUGUUCAAAUCCCACUGUCAACA